rnacentral:rRNA from 1 species
UGGGGAAUCUUGCACAAUGGGGGCAACCCUGAUGCAGCGACGCCGCGUGAGCGAUGAAGCCCUUCGGGGUGUAAAGCUCUUUCGGCAGGGAAGAUAAUGACGGUACCUGCAGAAGCAGCUGCGGCUAACUACGUGCCAGCAGCCGCGGUAAUACGUAGGCAGCAAGCGUUGUUCGGAGUUACUGGGCGUAAAGGGUGUGUAGGCGGUCGCCUAAGUUUGGUGUGAAAUCUCCCGGCUUAACUGGGAGGGUGCGCCGAAUACUGAGCGACUAGAGUACGGGAGAGGAAAGUGGAAUUCCUGGUGUAGCGGUGAAAUGCGUAGAUAUCAGGAGGAACACCGGCGGUGUAGACGGCUUUCUGGACCGUAACUGACGCUGAGACACGAAAGCGUGGGUAGCAAACA